rnacentral:rRNA from 1 species
AAUGACGUCUCUAGAAGACAUCUGAAAGAGAUUUAAAGAUUUAUCGGUGAUGGAUGGGGAUGCGUCUGAUUAGCUUGUUUGGCGGGGUUAACGGCCCACCAAGGCGACGAUCAGUAGGGGUUCUGAGAGGAAGGUCCCCCACAUUGGAACUGAGACACGGUCCAAACUCCUACGGGAGGCAGCAGUGAGGAAUAUUGGUCAAUGGACGAGAGUCUGAACCAGCCAAGUAGCGUGCAGGAAGACGGCCCUAUGGGUUGUAAACUGCUUUUAUAAGGGAAUAAAGUGAAUCUCGUGAGACUUUUUGCAUGUACCUUAUGAAUAAGGACCGGCUAAUUCCGUG